GACGAACGCUGGCGGCGUGCUUAACACAUGCAAGUCGAACGGAAAGGCCCUGCUUUUGUGGGGUGCUCGAGUGGCGAACGGGUGAGUAACACGUGAGUAACCUGCCCUUGACUUUGGGAUAACUUCAGGAAACUGGGGCUAAUACCGGAUAGGAGCUCCUGCUGCAUGGUGGGGGUUGGACAGUUUCGGCGGUUGGGGAUGGACUCGCGGCUUAUCAGCUUGUUGGUGGGGUAGUGGCUUACCAAGGCUUUGACGGGUAGCCGGCCUGAGAGGGUGACCGGCCACAUUGGGACUGAGAUACGGCCCAGACUCCUACGGGAGGCAGCAGGGGGGAAUAUUGCACAAUGGGCGGAAGCCUGAUGCAGCAACGCCGCGUGCGGGAUGACGGCCUUCGGGUUGUAAACCGCUUUCGCCUGUGACGAAGCGUGAGUGACGGUAAUGGGUAAAGAAGCACCGGCUAACUACGUG
rnacentral:rRNA from 1 species